rnacentral:rRNA from 1 species
GGGGGGCAAAAAUGCAGGUCGAGCGAGCUUGCCUAGAUGAUUUUAGUGCUUGCACUAAAUGAAACUAGAUACAAGCGAGCGGCGGACGGGUGAGUAACACGUGGGUAACCUGCCCAAGAGACUGGGAUAACACCUGGAAACAGAUGCUAAUACCGGAUAACAACACUAGACGCAUGUCUAGAGUUUGAAAGAUGGUUCUGCUAUCACUCUUGGAUGGACCUGCGGUGCAUUAGCUAGUUGGUAAGGUAACGGCUUACCAAGGCAAUGAUGCAUAGCCGAGUUGAGAGACUGAUCGGCCACAUUGGGACUGAGACACGGCCCAAACUCCUACGGGAGGCAGCAGUAGGGAAUCUUCCACAAUGGACGAAAGUCUGAUGGAGCAACGCCGCGUGAGUGAAGAAGGGUUUCGGCUCGUAAAGCUCUGUUGGUAGUGAAGAAAGAUAGAGGUAGUAACUGGCCUUUAUUUGACGGUAAUUACUUAGAAAGUCACGGCUAACUACGUGCCAGCAGCCGCGGUAAUACGUAGGUGGCAAGCGUUGUCCGGAUUUAUUGGGCGUAAAGCGAGUGCAGGCGGUUCAAUAAGUCUGAUGUGAAAGCCUUCGGCUCAACCGGAGAAUUGCAUCAGAAACUGUUGAACUUGAGUGCAGAAGAGGAGAGUGGAACUCCAUGUGUAGCGGUGGAAUGCGUANAUAUAUGGAAGAACACCAGUGGCGAAGGCGGCUCUCUGGUCUGCAACUGACGCUGAGGCUC